UGGCUCAGUCGGCAGAGCAUAUGACUUUUGAUCUUAGAGUUGUGAGUUCAAGCCCCAU
rnacentral:tRNA from 1 species